rnacentral:rRNA from 1 species
UACGUAGGGUGCAAGCGUUGUCCGGAAUUAUUGGGCGUAAAGAGCUUGUAGGCGGUUUGUCGCGUCUGCUGUGAAAUUUCGGGGCUCAACCCCGAACUUGCAGUGGGUACGGGGCAGACUAGAGUGUGGUAGGGGGAGACUGGAAUUCCUGGUGUAGCGGUGAAAUGCGCAGAUAUCAGGAGGAACACCGAUGGCGAAGGCAGGUCUCUGGGCCAUAACUGACGUGAGAAGCGAAAAGCAUGGGGAGCGAAACAGG